CGGGUUGCGGACAGUGUCUGGUGGGUAGUUUGACUGGGGCGGUCUCCUCCUAAAGAGUAACGGAGGAGCACGAAGGUUGGCUAAUCCUGGUCGGACAUCAGGAGGUUAGUGCAAUGGCAUAAGCCAGCUUGACUGCGAGCGUGACGGCGCGAGCAGGUGCGAAAGCAGGUCAUAGUGAUCCGGUGGUUCUGAAUGGAAGGGCCAUCGCUCAACGGAUAAAAGGUACUCCGGGGAUAACAGGCUGAUACCGCCCAAGAGUUCAUAUCGACGGCGGUGUUUGGCACCUC
rnacentral:rRNA from 1 species